UCUGCUGAGCUAUUUGUUCCAAGUUCCAUUCUGCUACCUAGGCUGGAAAUUCCACUCAUGCUCAGCUCAAAGGAAUGCAGCUCAUGCUGGCCAAAGAGCUAGCCAGGAAAUGGGUGGCUAAAAUCCUUCUUUUCAUUUGUGGCUUCCUCUCUAACAUCUGUGAAGCAGACUAUACCACUGCCUGAGCUGUUCCACCCUUUUUCAACUGAGGAGCAGACCUUCUUUUCUGGGGAAGGUCUCUUCUGAUUCUCUACAGGCAGCUUGAUUUCCUGGUCUUCCGAUGCCCGGAGUUUGUUCUUUGAGUACAAGGGAUAUAAUUAUGCUGGGAAGGCACGAUUAUCUUGUCCCUGACUUCAACUCCAUUCCUGAUCCUACUUCAUGACCUAACAACUAGAUGUGAAGUUGUCUGGCAUCUUCUGCUUCUGACUCAGAGCCUCCCUGGUCUGGUCCAGGUUACCAGAAAAGAUAUCCCCCAUGGGCCACUGGUCACAGGAAGAGGAUGACAGACACAAGGAGCACAGCUGCUCCCGAAAAGCUGCUCCAGACAAGCCCUGUGUAGAGCAGCUCCUCAACCAACCCACAGAUGUAUGAGUGAGCUCAGUGUGGAUUGCCCAACCUCAGCUGACUCGCACAAAUAAGACCACACUGAACCUUUGCAUUCAUAUAGCUUUUUCUACCCUUUGCAUCAUUUUCUGGAAAUGGAAUGCCUCCCUGAAGAUUGAAUUCAGAUUUACUGAGUCAACGAAUGUGGCAGAUUAUAUCUUCCAAAGAUGAUCACAUCAAAAUCUCACAUCCCACAUGAUCUUGCCAGGGUUCCAUCAAAAGGGACAUCUAAACAUUCCCUCCUCUGGAUUCCGGGUGGGCUUGUGACUGCUUCAGUUGAUGGGAUGCAGUGAAAGUGAUAUUUGUGACUUCCAAGGCCUGGUCAGAAAAGGCCGGGUAGCUGCUUGCCAGAUUCUUUCUCUUGUGGUCUUUGCUCUGGGGGAAGUAAGCCAUGAAGUCCAAUUACCUUGAGACCACCAUGCUAGACAGACCAUAGAUAGAUGCUCCCCAACACAGCCAGAUGAACUCCCAGUUAAUCUCUAGCACCGAUUGGCAGACACAUGAGUGGGCCAUCUGGGACUUCCAGCACAGCUCAGCCUUCAGAUGGCUCCAUCCCCAGCCCCUGAGUCCUCUCAGCCACACAGUCUUCCCCGAUGAAGCCAUAGUCAACGAGGAGCAGGGACGAGCCACCCCACUGUGCCUUGUCUGAAUCUCUGACACACAGAAUCCAUGAACACCAUAAAAUGUUGUUUUAAGCUGAUAAGUUUUAGAGAG